UUUUACAAGCUUUUAUUUAGUAUCACCUGUCCCGUUGUCUGUCUGUAAUCAAAUCUUGCAAGUUAAAUUAGACCGACUUCCCGGUUUCCGAUGAAGCUGAAAAUUUGCAUACAUAUGUAAGUGGUGUGACAAUGCAAUAUUAUGGUACCAUCGAGCUGAUCUGAUGAUGGAGACAGGAGGUGGUCAUAGGAACUCUG